CGCAAACCAAAAGUACACUGAGACUUGUCCAAGUGUUCCCUGGACAGGACGUGGGGAACAAACUUGGCCCUGGCCAAGAGACAAUGGCUGUAACAACAGCAAAUGGCUGUAAGCAGGUGACAUGACUUCUGGAGUUGAUGACCACUUCACUCAGCAUCUGUCUGGUCCCUGGAAACACCAGCUGGGAGAGGCAUGGCGCUCUCUGCUGAGGGGCCAGGCAGGAUAGAGCAUGCUACAUGUCCUGAAAAGAAACCUGAGCUGAGUUCAACUGCCUGCUUCAGAUGAGGUGUCAUGCAGCCUAGCUUGCCCUCCUUCCUGUGUAACUGGCAAUGACCUUGAAUUCCUGAUUCUCCUGUUCCCAUCUCCCGAGUCCUGGGGACACAGGGGGAAGGAUGUUUUCUGUGUGACUCAACCAUCCCAACCUUGGGUAUGCAGCCGCGGGAAGUUAAUGACACACAAAAGCUAAACCUGAAAUGCACGUGAUGCUGAUGGAUUAUUCACAAUAACCAAGACACGGGAGUCAGCUGGAGCGCACAUGUGCAGAAGAGUGGAAAGAGGAAAUCGAGAUGCACACAAUGGGAUACUUAUUAUUCUCCAUGAGCAAGAAUGGAAUCCUGCCAUCUGCAGCUGAAUGGUCGGACCCAAAGGAUACCGGGGUCAGAUAGGCAAGAAGUAUAUGUCGUCUCUUAGACAUGGAAACCAAAAGAGAAAAAUAAAUGACCUGAAAGUGAGAUAUAACUUAUGAGGGAAGGACUGGGAAGACUUUCAUGAUCCCGAGGAGAGACAAAUUACUGACUCCAAGGAGCUUCGCCAGCAGAAAGAUGGCACUCGGUGGCCUUCACCGAUGGGUUUCCAGUCUGUUCUGGGAUGCAAAGAGCAGAACUGAGACAUCUUCAGACAUCCAUCUGCCCUGAUGGCAUGGCUAGUUGGUUCUUGCUGUGACGAGAGUGAAACUGUCUUUUGAAACACCUGUUCUUCAAGCUCCAUGGCUGUGUGGGACUCCUUAGAUGCUGAGGUAAGAAUAAAAAACAAACAGAAUCCUCUUUUUUUGGAGCGGGGGGACAGGUUCUUACUCUACAGUCCAGUCUGCCCUUUGUAUGACUCAGUUUGUGUAGACCCUUGAACUCAUGACAAUCCAGAAUGGUCAGUCAAGCUCCUGGAUGCCUGAUUGCCUCCCCAGACUCCAGAACACAGCUUUGCUGACUAGCCGCAUGCCCCAACUCUUCAGAUAUUUCUGGGGAGUUUUUGCACUGACUCCUGGAGACACUUGACAUUAACUCUGUCCAUUUGCCUUCAAGUUUCACAUGCAGAAAAGGGAAACAUGCGUUUUCUAGCAGACUAGAACAGUCCUGAGUGUUUCCUGUGAAUGUCUCUGUGUGGUGUACCACAGGUCUGUCAGAGUGGGAGGAAACAAAGGGCUUGGACUCAAACAGGACUUCCGGAAUGUUCUUUCAGACGAGUUGUGCUUGGUCCAAACUGAAACUUGGAUGGGUUUAUUUUUUUCACCUGUGAGUUGAGACUGUCGCUGUUUCUUGUGUUCUCACAGGACGUAAUUAGUCGCAUUUCCCACUGCUGUGACAAAAUGCCCGAGGGCAGCGAUGUGAGGAAGCUAGAAGGUUUAUUUUGGCUCAGGAUUUGAGGGUAGAGCCCAUCAUGGUGGGAAACACACCAUGGCAGGGAUGUGAAGCUGCUGGUUGCCUUCAUCCAGUGAGGAAGCAGAAACCGAUGCCAGUGCUCAGCUCCCACCUACUUUUUACUCCUCAGUGUGUAGAGCAGUGUCGCCCACAAUCAGGGCUGCUCUUCCUUCUUCCCUUAGCCCUCACAGACUUGCCCAGAGAUGUGUCUUCCAAACCCAGCCAUUUUGACAGUAAGUAUUAACUAUCGCAGGGACUAAAAUCCCCCCCACCCCCUGAAAGGACUAUUAAGUAAGCAUCAGGCAUGAUACCACUCACCUGUAUCCUGUAUCCCAACCCUUAAGAGACUGGGGCAGCAGGAGGGUUGUGAGUUCAAGGCCAGCCUAGGUCACUUGGAGAAACCCUAUCUCAAAGAAACAAAACAAAACAAAACAAAACAAAACAACAACAAAAACCCCGGGGGCUGGAGGUUUGCCUCAGAGUUAAGAACAUGUGCUGCUCUUCCAGGGGAGCUGGAUUCAAUUUCCAGCACCUCUAUGGUGCUUCAUAACUCUGAUAACUGCAGCCUCAAGGGAUCUGAAGCCCUCUUCUGACCUUCCUGAGCACCAGACAUAUAGGAGGUGCACAUACAUAUAUGUAGGCAGAAACACACACGUAAGAUAAUAAAACAAAUGUUAAAAAGUUAAAAAAAAAAACCAAAGAGUUAGCAAAACCCAGACAAAAAAGUCAUAAUCAGGAUAGCUGAACAGGCUGUGAGUUUCAUCUCUCUGCCCUCAGCAAGAUAUCCUAAGGGAGAAACAGCAAGGACGACAGGGUGUGAUAAGAUGAAAUAAUCAUAUUUUGCACUUAAGUAAAAAACAGUUUUAGAUCAUAGAUCUUCUUCCUACUUGCUGUGCAGUGUUGGGCAGGUUUCAUACUUGCUAAGGUUUUCAUUUUCAUAUUCAAGGCUAAAGGGUUAGAUAGACGAAUCAAUGGUCGAAUCAAAGGACGGGAGUUUGGUUCCAAGAACUUGAGGGUAGCUCAUUUCCAUAGGAACAGGGAUCUGAUGCCCUCUUCUGGUCUCUAUGGGCACUGCACUCAGGUACACACACACACACACACACACACACACACAUUUAAAAAGAAAAUAAGGUCAUUGCACAACACAGUUAAGGACAGUUACUUGUAAGUUAAUAUGAGGGUUAAAUGAAGAUGAUAUUUAUGAAGUUCCUAGAAAAUAUCUUACACAGAUCAAAAAGACCAAGAAGAUGAAAUUGCUUCUGUUUGAAUUAUAGUUUAACUACUUACUCAUAAAAAUGACUAAUAUUUUCACGUUAACACAAGUGAAACUUCUGUGUAGAGAUGUAUUGAUUUCUCUAAAGCUCUACUCUAUAAAGAACGCUCUGAAGACAGGGAUGGGAUUGUGGGCAGUGUUUGGUAUCCUGGCUUAGAGUUGACCCUAUGCUAUGUACUCUGGAAGUGAACACUUCUUUAUUGUUUUUAGUGGUGCUGAGAAUCUGGAAUUUCCAGUCCAGAGAGACGCCUCGGUGACUAAAAGUGUAUACUGUGUUUGUAGAAGAUCUCAACACGUACAUCAGGUAGUUCACAACUGUCUACAGCUUCCGCUCAAGGGAAAUCUGCUAUUCUCUUUGGCUUCUCCAAGAAAAUGAAUGCAUUGCAUAGAUACAACACACACACACACACACACACACACACACACACACUCAUAUGUACGUUUAAUUUUUUAACUAAUUAAAGUUUAUGUGCAUGUGAGUUUUGACCGCAUGUAUGUUUGUGAUUGGUCCAAGCUCUGCUGGAGGCUGUUGCAUUGCUGUACUUAGAUUAUCGACGGGAUGAUAAAGACAGUGGUCACACCUGCCAAUUCCAAGGACACAACACACAAUGCAGCCCUUCCUUUUUGGCUGUGCCCCCAGGAGAGCUCACAUAACCUCUCAGAGUCCUCCAAAGUUGCUUUCUCAGGCAUUUUAUCAGCGGUAAGAAAAGUAACUGUAUCUUGGGUAUUCUGAGCUUUUGGGCUAAUAGCCACUUAUCCGUGAGUGAAUACCAUGUGUGUUCUUUUGUGACUGGGUUACCUCACUGAGGAUGAUAUUUUCUAUUUCCAUCCAUUUGCCUAAGAAUUUCAUGAAGUCAUUAUUUUUAAUAGCUGAGUAGUACUCCAUUGUAUAAAUGUACCACAUUUUCUGUACAAUUACAGACCACAUGAAGCUCAAGAAGAAGAAAGACAAAAGUGUGGAUGCUUCAUUCCUUCUUAGAAGGGGGAACAAAAUAGUCACAGGAGGAAAUAUGGAGACAGAGAGUGGAGCAGAGACUGAACAAAAAGCUAUCCAGAGACUGCUGCUCCUGGGGAUCUCUAUCCCACAUACAGUGACCAAACCCACUGGUGAUGCCAAGAGGUGCAUGCUGACAGGAGGCUGAUAAAGCUGUCUCCUGAGAGGCUCUGCCAGAGCCUGACAAAUACAGAGGCAGAUGCUCACAGCCAAUCAUUAGACUGAGAAUGGGCUCCUAAUGGAAGAGGUAGAGAAAGGACUGAGGUAACUGAGUGGGUUUGCAACCCCAUAGGAAGAACAACAAUAUCAACCAACCGGACCCUCCCCCGACACCCAGAGCUCCCUGAGACUAAAUCACCAACCAAAGAGUACACAGGGAGUGAGUGGCCCAUAGCUUCAGCCACAUAUGUAGCAGAGGACAGGCCUUGUAGGGCAUCAAUGGGAGGAGAGAUCCUUGGUCCCGUGAAAGCUCGAUGCCCCAGUGUAGGGGAAUGCCAGGGCAGGGAGCUGGAAGGGAGUGGGUGGGUGGGGGAGCACCCUCAUGGAGGCAGAGAGUGGGGGGAUGGAAUGGAGGGUUUCCAGAGGGGAAACCAGGAAAGGGAAUGACAUUUGAAAUGUAAAUAAAGAAAAUAUCUAAUAAAAGAAAAAAAGGAAAAAAUAGAA